UACGUAGGGUGCGAGCGUUAAUCGGAAUUACUGGGCGUAAAGCGUGCGCAGGCGGUUAUGCAAGACAGGUGUGAAAUCCCCGAGCUCAACUUGGGAACUGCACUUGUGACUGCAAGGCUAGAGUACGGCAGAGGGGGAUGGAAUUCCGCGUGUAGCAGUGAAAUGCGUAGAUAUGCGGAGGAACACCAAUGGCGAAGGCAAUCCCCUGGGCCUGUACUGACGCUCAUGCACGAAAGCGUGGGGAGCAAACAGG
rnacentral:rRNA from 1 species